rnacentral:sRNA from 1 species
AGAAAAAAUACAAAAAAAACAUUUUAAAAGAAAAA